rnacentral:lncRNA from 1 species
GACACCGUAGCAUUGUCCAAUGGUGGAGCUAGAGCAAAUUUAAAGAGAUACAGUUGCUUUGCGGUAAAAUUACGAACUACGAAUAUGAUGAAAAUUUAGACAUAAUUACUUGUUUUCAGUUUUUUUUUUGCCCCUGUACCCAACAACUCCUAUAAUCCUAUAUACAUCCGCCCAUGGCAGUGCCAAGUGCCCAAAGCUAAUCCCACAGUAGGUACAUCACCUUUUUAUCUGGAUAUACUCCGUAUAUGACCAAUUGACUGACCAUGCGUGUGUAGUACAGUACAGGCCUGAAACGUGCACGUACGUGCGUACUAGUACGACGGAGCAGCAGUGAGCACGUAAAGAAGUUGGUCGUAGGUCCGAUCAGAUUUCUCUUUCUGCUGCAGUCGCACUGCACCGGCCGUGUGGUUUUACCUCAUAUUUUGACACCAUGCAUGUGUGGUAGCUAGCUAGCUACUAGCUCUCGUUAAGUUUGCGUACAUACCGUCUCUUAAUUGUGGCUGGGACCAUAUAUAUAAACAUGUAUAAACCCAUCACAAGUGGUUGGCGUGUUACGUUCUGUCGAUUGAUUGUCGUCGACAACAUUAUAUUAUACUGCCGUAUAAAAAGUCACGUAACUCUCUUACACUGUUUGAGAAAAAAAAGAUAAAAAAAAAUAUAAAUAAAGUUUUAAAUUUUAUUAAUAGUAUUCUUACCCGCCCCUCCCUAAAGAGAAAUUUGAGGUUAUAUAUUUCUGCUAACGUCUCUGGUGUGGUCAUUCACUCAUAUUUUAAUUUUUCUUUAAAAGAACAAUAACGACUGCUAGCAUGUAUUGGUACUGGUACAUGACAUUGACAUCGUAUAUAUAGUUUAAAAGACUUGCUAAGAAAAGCUACAAAGAAGGGGGAGAGCAAGUCACAACACAUGCAUGUUUGAAGCACGGCCAAGGCAUGCAUGCAUGUCAUGGUUUUUUUUUUUGUAGUCCACAGCUAUCUAGCGAGAACGAGGCGUGCGUGUACGUUGUUGAUACCUACAGUACAUAGUACUCCAGCAACAAGUAGAGGCAGGCAGAGAUCCCGGUGGCCGGCGUUAGUUGUAGUUGUAGUUGUAGGUGC